CUGGAGGUAUCAGAAGUGCGAAUGCUGACAUAAGUAACGAUAAAGCGGGUGAAAAGCCCGCUCGCCGGAAGACCAAGGGUUCCUGUCCAACGUUAAUCGGGGCAGGGUGAGUCGACCCCUAAGGCGAGGCCGAAAGGCGUAGUCGAUGGGAAACAGGUUAAUAUUCCUGUACUUGGUGUUACUGCGAAGGGGGGACGGAGAAGGCUAUGUUGGCCGGGCGACGGUUGU
rnacentral:rRNA from 1 species